UUAAUAUCUGUUACUAUAACUUUAUUAACUGCAUAUUUAUUAUCUAAGUUCACAUUUGACAUGCCGUCUCUUAUCAAAAAGGUAGAGCCACAUGUGCACACUUUAACAGGAUCCGACUGAAAUAAUGGGGGCUCUUUGUGUGUUUGGUUUAUUUCUAGUUGCAUCGUUCUUGACUGUCGAGGGAAUAGGAAGCGCAUGUCAAGACAUAGAUCACGACGCAUGCGUGGCAAUGAGCAGGCAAAAUACACAACUAUGCUCUGAUCAAAUUCUAGCAAAUACGGCUUGCCCCGCACACUGCAAAAGUUGCCCUGUCACAUGUUACAACUGCAAUACGACAACAC